CGGGAUGUAGCGCAGCCCGGUAGCGCGCUUCGUUCGGGACGAAGAGGCCGUGGGUUCGAAUCCCGCCAUCCCGA
rnacentral:tRNA from 1 species